UCGGAACUGGGAAACCAGGGCC
rnacentral:misc_RNA from 1 species